UACAGAGGUCCCGAGCGUUGUUCGGAUUCACUGGGCGUAAAGGGUGCGUAGGUGGUGGGGUAAGUCUGGUGUGAAAGCUCGCAGCUCAACUGCGAAACGGCACUGGAAACUACCCUGCUGGAGGGUUGGAGGGGGGACUGGAAUACUUGGUGUAGCAGUGAAAUGCGUAGAUAUCAAGUGGAACACCAGUGGCGAAGGCGGCGACCUGGACGGACAUUGACGCUGAGACGCGAAAGCGUGGGGAGCAAACAGG
rnacentral:rRNA from 1 species